rnacentral:tRNA from 1 species
GCCCUGGUGGCACGACGGUUAAGUGCUUGGCUACUAACCAAAGGUUGAUGGUUCGAACCCACCCAGGAGCA